UUAGUGAUCUUGAAAAGUUCUCUAUUUAUCCGUAGGAUAGGAACAGCACAGAAAGAGAGUUCAGACUUCUCCACACUGCUCUGCCAAUGUACCUCACCUAUGACCUGCAGAUCACCUCUAGAGUAGAAAGGGGAUAGUUGUCUCCGUAAUAAUUUAAUUCUUUACCUUA
rnacentral:sRNA from 1 species